AGAGUUUGAUCAUGGCUCAGGAUGAACGCUAGCUACAGGCUUAACACAUGCAAGUCGAGGGGCAGCAUUUUAGUUUGCUUGCAAACUAAAGAUGGCGACCGGCGCACGGGUGAGUAACACGUAUCCAACCUGCCGAUAACUCGGGGAUAGCCUUUCGAAAGAAAGAUUAAUAUCCGAUAGUAUAUUAAAACCGCAUGGUUUUACUAUUAAAGAAUUUCGGUAUCGAUGGGGAUGCGUUCCAUUAGUUGUUGGCGGGGUAACGCCACAAGACUACGAUGGAUAGGGGUUCUGAGAGGAAGGUCCCCCACAUUGGAACUGGAGACACGGUCCAAACGUCCUACGGGAGCA
rnacentral:rRNA from 1 species